ACCUCCCCCACCACCAGCAUCAUCAUCUCAGUCAACUCAAGACUUGAGCAAAGCCCCAACAGUCCAGCCAGAUUUCCCUUACAGCCAAUUUGCAGGUUAUGGUCAAGAUUUGAGUGGCUUUGGACAGGGUUUCCCAGAACCCAGCCAACAACCCCCAACCUAUGGAGGACCCUCGAUGCCCGGAUCAAGUGGUCCACUUGCAGGAGGAAGUGGUUUUGGACGAGGACAGAACCAUAACGUACAAGGAUUUCACCCUUAUAGGCGUUAGCUCAACUUGAAAUCUGCGACUUUUAUCCACAACGGGGUAUCUGGUACCAGCCAAAACUGGAAAUUCAUUCCAAACUUGUGAAUUUGUGACAAUUACAUAUACAAAUGUGAUAAAUCAUUUUGUUGGGGAUUGGUUCUAGAGGCAGGAAGGAGCAAAUAGUUUUAGGAGGCCAAGCUUUAGGUGUUUUGUUUGCAACUUUAAAGUCUGUUUCUCUAAUCCUUCUGCACAAAUAAAAAAGGCACUGGCUUAAACUACAGGGUUUAAGAAAAGUUCAGCUUUAACUCAAAGCUUUCUUUAUUUUCUCUUUUUCUCUCUUUUGUAAUAUUUUUGAGGAAUUUUACCUGAGCCUGUUGUAUUCAUACACUGUAUACAUUUAUUGUGAAAGAAAAAAAUGCACAUUUAUAGGUCAUGAAAAUUUUAAAGGUAAUUUUUUCUAAAGGGUUGUUUUCGGCAUUGGUGAAAGUGACAAUUUUCACCCCUUCUCUUAUCUUUUAGGAUGGAGUUUAUUGAUUAAAAAUUCUGAGCCUGAAGAAGAAAUCUACUAAGUGUAUUUUGCAUUUGUCAAUUAACUCUAAUUGAUUGCAACACGCAGUGCAGAUGAGUUGAUGUAGAUGGUUACUUAUGAAGCACGACAUUUUGAUUCAGGCUUCAGAUUUAUUCAAAUCUAGUUGGCAAAUUUAACUGAUGGAGGGCUUGUUAAUAUAUAAAUUCCCUCGGGCAAAAGGUUUCUUCAGUGAAUGUGCAUUAAAGAGUAAUCCUGUCUGUUUUGAAUAAAGAGAAGUAAAUUUGGGUUAAAACCAGAAA